GGAGCUAUGCACUGAGUACACCGCUGCAGAACGUAGUGCGCACGCGCAGCCUCUUAUUUCCGGCGGGAAAUUGCCGGGCGCCCGCCCCUAUUAAAAUUGUUUAGCAAAACAAAACAAACCAGUUUCCGGCCGCGAAAUUUAAAAAAAAAUAAGAAGUACACAAAAAAAAUAAGCCUGAAAAAUUUACAUCACCAAGAUAUUGAAAUUUUCUAUCUCUGAAAUUUUGCACCACCUACUUUACGGCCUGCACCAAAGGCGAAAAUAAUGGAUAAGCAUCGGAUGUCGUACCGGCAGACCUUCGUGGUCGCCAUUAUAGUUGUUUUAGUUGUAGCCUCGCUGGGUUUUGUUCAUGCAAACGACGAUGCACAACACUGUAUGAUGAGUUGCAAAACUAGAAACGGAAAAGGAUGCAUUGGUCGACUUUACCAGCUUUCCGGGGAGCUUAGUCGUGUCGCUAAGUUGCCGGUAGGUUCGCAUGUUUGCCGGCGACAUUGGGAUAUGUUACGAAGAAGCAACUUGCGCUGCUCAUGUCCCAUGCACGAUAAACAACAGCCCUCACGUCUGAACAAGCAACCUAUUCCAAGUCGUUUUUUAUCCGGUAUUUGACGAGAUUGGGCUAACAGUGGCAGAAUACCAGCCUGGUACUCGGUGGUGUUACCGGUGCAAGUUGCUCGCCUAUAAGAAAUUUGAAAGCCGUCCUCAAACAAGUAGAAAACCAGUCGAGGUAAGUGUAUAUUUUUAUUCGGGAAAACAACCACUCCUCUGCAGUGCCUCUUCGCUGUAAAUUGCUAUGUAUUUCUUCCUGUAUUUUCAAUCUGUUUAACAAAAUAUAAAAACGAGUACAUAGAAAAGGCUUGAACAUUCUUUCGUUCUUUUUAUUAGGAAAAAGCAAAUAGUAGUACAUCCGCCAUCAGCACAGAACAACAACUACAAAAGAUAUUUCAGUUUACGGGAUCCCCUAUUCUACACCUCCAUGAAAGUAUGCAAGAUAUAUCUAUGUCAGCACCUACCAUAUCCCAACUGGAUCAAACAAAGCAACAAUUUGGAAGGCUGUUUUCAAGACUUGAAGCUCUAGCAGACAUGUGACAUUCAUCUCCUGGAAACAUGGAAAGAGCUGCAAACUCCCCUAGGUAAUUCACUGGGCCAACUAGUGCAACAAUUUCAGAUGGCUCUAUACCAUCAUGCCCUCAGUAGUGAAGCUCCAUUAUAUGAGCCAGCAGCAAUGAAAGCGUUCACACAAAAACACUCUCCAGGUCUGUUUGAAAUGCUUUUAAGUUCAAUAACAAGGGAGGACUCCAGACUCUCAGAUGAACAUCAAGCUGUACAGGAGCAAAGAACUGUUGUUCUCCUUCACACACUGGCAUAUUUCAGGUACCCUAAAUGCUCCAUUAAGACCCACCUCCCUAACCUCCAAUUACUUUCCUUUCUAAAAACCCUCUAGAGGCUAAAUUUUGUAAUAAGCUCCCCCUUUCUAUCUGCUCCAAUUUCAUAAUUGGGCCUAGGUAUGUUCAAUAUCAUGCUUUAUACUAUAAUUCAAUGUAUACAAGCUGCACCAGAACACUAGUGUUUUGUUCUUUUUUAAAUGACAGAAAUUUAUUUUACCAGGUCUCAGAAAACUUCCACCCUACAAAAGGAUGAAGGGCUAUUCCUACAACAUCAUGGUGCUUCUAGGACAGCAAUCAAUUCAGGAAGGAUACUUGGUUUCAGUACAAGUCCUAGAAAUAUUGAUUCUCACAAGAAAGCACUAAUAACAAAA